AAUUUUUUAAUCUUUCAAUACGGUGCCGUUUUGCUUAGUGUAUAAAAGCUUCUUUUCUUUGUUUUUCAAUCAUAUUUCAUUUGCUUCUCUUUCUAUAACUUUUAUUCUCUUUCCUCUCUCUACAAUAAGUAGAUGAAUACUGGCCGAAAGCUUCAAAAGUUUCUAACUUCAGGCAAAGUACCAUCGUCUUUGCCACUGUGGACCACCAUGCUCCACCAUGGGCUAACCACGGUUAAGAUCUGGGUACAGAGGUUAUGUUUCUGACUCCAAGAUCUCUUUCCCUGUUGCACCGGUCAUAACCAUUUCGAGACAUGUUCCUCCCUUUGUUAGUGGCUACCUUUUCACCGGAUUUGAAGACUUAAAACCCCCUAAAAGAAGGUCUCAACAAUGGCGUGGAAAGUGGUUCAAUGAUAAUGAGAUUGUUGUUUGUUUUAGGGUAGUGUAUAACAAAGAGAAGUGGGCAGUUUAAAGUUGAUUUUGGUGGGGUCUAGGCUAAUCUGAUGGUGGCGAUAGGUUGACCGUCAAUGGUAUUAUAGUGUUUGAUGGUGGGGUGGUCUAAAUGAAAGAUGACGGAUUUGGUGGUGAUCAUGCCAGUAAGGGUGGAUUAAUGUUGGUGUGGUACACUGAUGAAAUUAUUGAGCUAUGGUUUUCUGGUGACGAGUGGUUUCAAUUAAGACGGGUGUUCUGGCAAAGGUGAUGGUGAGGUUAUUGCUAGAAUUAUGUGAAGUAAAAAUGGUGAUUGAAAAUUGUUAAUAGUUGCUUUCUCUAUUGUUUUUCAGUGGUUUUCUAUUUGAUUACUAUAUAUUGUUGUUUCUGUGUGUAUGGUGAAGCGAUUAGUUUGGAAUUUGGCGGAUGAAAAUAAAGACAAUUAUAGGCUUGUGUGAUGCUGUGAAUGUAACUCUGAAU